rnacentral:rRNA from 1 species
UCCUACGGGAGGCAGCAGUGGGGAAUAUUGGACAAUGGGCGAAAGCCUGAUCCAGCCAUGCCGCGUGUGUGAAGAAGGUCUUCGGAUUGUAAAGCACUUUAAGUCGGGAGGAAGGGCAGUAAGCUAAUACCUUGCUGUUUUGACGUUACCGACAGAAUAAGCACCGGCUAACUUCGUGCCAGCAGCCGCGGUAAUACGAAGGGUGCAAGCGUUAAUCGGAAUUACUGGGCGUUAAGCGCGCGUAGGCGGUUCAGCAAGUUGGAUGUGAAAGCCCCGGGCUCAACCUGGG